AAGGUAGCGAAAUUCCUUGUCGGGUAAGUUCCGACCUGCACGAAUGGCGCAACGACUUUCCCACUGUCUCAACCAUAGACCCAGCGAAAUUGAAGUACGAGUAAAGAUGCUCGUUAGCUGCAGAAGGACGAGAAGACCCCGUGGACCUUUACUGCAACCUGAUAUUGGUGUUUGGUCUACCUUGUGUAGGAUAGGUGGGAGACUGGGAAGCACAGGCGCCAGCCCGUGUGGAGUCAAUCUUGAAAUACCACUCUUUGUAUGCUGGGCACCUAAUCCAGGUCCGUAAUCCGGAUCGGAGACAGUGGCAGGUGGGUAGUUUGACUGGGGCGGUCGCCUCCUAAAAUGUAACGGAGGCGCCCAAAGGUUCCCUCAGCCUGGUCGGCAAUCAGGCGGCGAGUGUAAUGGCACAAGGGAGCUUGACUGUGAGACCUACAAGUCGAACAGGAGCGAAAGCUGGGCAUAGUGAUCCGGCGGUUGCGUGUGGAAGCGCCGUCGCUCAACGGAUAAAAGGUACCCCGGGGAUAACAGGCUCAUCUUCCCCAAGAGUCCAUAUCGACGGGAAGGUUUGGCACCUCGAUGUCGGCUCAUCGCAUCCUGGGGCUGAAGCAGGUCCCAAGGGUUGGGCUGUUCGCCCAUUAAAGCGGUACGCGAGCUGGGUUUAGAACGUCGUGAGACAGUUCGGUCCCUAUCCUCUGUAGCCGAAGGUGAUUUGAGGAAAGCUGUCCCUAGUACGAGAGGACCGGGACGGACGCAGCUCUCGUGUGCCAGUUGUUCUGCCAAGGGCAUGGCUGGUUAGCGACCUGCGGAAAGGAUAACCGCUGAAAGCAUCUAAGCGGGAAGCCUGUUCCGAGAUCAGAUCUCCCACCGGGUUAACCGGGUAAGGCCCGUGGCAGACUACCACGUAGAUAGGCCGGAAGUGUAAGCGCGGCAACGCGUUCAGCUGACCGGUACUAAUCGGCCGAGGGCUUAGGUUUCACCAACCUCU
rnacentral:rRNA from 1 species